rnacentral:rRNA from 1 species
AUUGAACGCUGGCGGCAGGCCUAACACAUGCAAGUCGAGCGAGCGGCGGACGGGUGAGUAAUGUCUGGGAAACUGCCUGAUGGAGGGGGAUAACUACUGGAAACGGUAGCUAAUACCGCAUACCAUCAGAUGUGCCCAGAUGGGAGUGGCUAGUAGGUGGGGUAACGGCUCACCUAGGCGACGAUCCCUAGCUGGUCUGCGAGGAUGACCAGCCAGCCUGGAACGGAGACACGGUCCAGACUCCUCCGGAGGGCAGCAGAUGUGAAUAUUGCACCAUGGGCGCAAGCCUGAGGCCGCCAUGCCGCGUGUGUGAAGAAGGCCUUCGGGUUGUAAAGCACUUUCAGCGGGGAGGCGUUACCCGCAGAAGAAGCACCGGCUAACUCCGUGCCAGCCGCCGCGGUAAUUC